CCCUUAGAUGUUCUGGGCCGCACGCGUGCUACACUGAGUGGAUCAGCGGGUCAGGUUGCGCGAAAGCGUUUCCUAAUCUUUAAAUCCGCUCGUGAUGGGGAUUGACGGUUGCAAUUUUCUGUCAUGAACGAGGAAUACCUUGUAAGCGCGGGUCAUCAUCCCGCGCUGAAUACGUCCCUGCCCUUUGUACACACCGCCCGUCGCUCCUACCGAUUGAGUGGUCCGGUGAGGCUUUGGGAUCUGAGCGGAAAGAGCGUUUCGCCGUUUCUGCUCGGAAAACUCAGUCGAACCUUAUCAUUUAGAGGAAGGAGAGGUCGUAACA
rnacentral:rRNA from 1 species